rnacentral:rRNA from 1 species
CAGAGUUUGAUCUGGCUCAGGAUAAACGCUGGCGGCGCACAUAAGACAUGCAAGUCGAACGAACUUAACCAUUAGUUUACUAUUGGAGCGGUUAGUGGCGGACUGGCGAGUAACACGUAAGCAACCUGCCUAUCAGAGGGGAACAACAGUUAGAAAUGACUGCUAAUACCGCAUAUGCCUUAGAAUCACAUGGUUCGAAAGGGAAAGGAGCAAUCCGCUGAUAGAUGGGCUUGCGUCUGAUUAG